UACGGGGGGGGCAAGCGUUGUUCGGAAUUACUGGGCGUAAAGCGCACGUAGGCGGAAUGUUAAGUCAGGGGUGAAAUCCCGGGGCUCAACCCCGGAACUGCCUUUGAUACUGGCAUUCUCGAGUCCGGAAGAGGUGAGUGGAAUUCCGAGUGUAGAGGUGAAAUUCGUAGAUAUUCGGAGGAACACCAGUGGCGAAGGCGGCUUGCUGGGCCGGACCUGACGCUGAGACGCGAAGGCGUGGGGAGCGAACGGG
rnacentral:rRNA from 1 species